AGUGAACGCUGGCGGUAGGCCUAACACAUGCAAGUCGAACGGCAGCACAGUAAGAGCUUGCUCUUACGGGUGGCGAGUGGCGGACGGGUGAGGAAUACAUCGGAAUCUACUUUUUCGUGGGGGAUAACGUAGGGAAACUUACGCUAAUACCGCAUACGACCUACGGGUGAAAGCAGGGGAUCUUCGGACCUUGCGCGAUUGAAUGAGCCGAUGUCGGAUUAGCUAGUUGGCGGGGUAAAGGCCCACCAAGGCGACGAUCCGUAGCUGGUCUGAGAGGAUGGUCAGCCACACUGGAACUGAGACACGGUCCAGACUCCUACGGGAGGCAGCAGUGGGGAAUAUUGGGCAAUGGGCGGAAGCCUGAUCCAGCCAUACCGCGUGGGUGAAGAAGGCCUUCGGGUUGUAAAGCCCUUUUGUUGGGAAAGAAAAGCAGCAGGUUAAUACCCCGCUGUUCUGACGGUACCCAAAGAAUAAGCACCGGCUAACUUCGUG
rnacentral:rRNA from 1 species